GACGAACGCUGGCGGCGUGCUUAACACAUGCAAGUCGAACGGAAAGGCCCUGCUUUUGUGGGGUGCUCGAGUGGCGAACGGGUGAGUAACACGUGAGUAACCUGCCCUUGACUUUGGGAUAACUUCAGGAAACUGGGGCUAAUACCGGAUAGGAGCUCCUGCUGCAUGGUGGGGGUUGGAAAGUUUCGGCGGUUGGGGAUGGACUCGCGGCUUAUCAGCUUGUUGGUGGGGUAGUGGCUUACCAAUGCUUUGGCGGGUAGCCGGCCUGAGAGGGUGACCGGCGACAUUGGGACUGAGAUACGGCCCAGACUCCUACGGGAGGCAGCAGUGGGGAAUAUUGCACAAUGGGCGGAAGCCUGAUGCAGCAACGCCGCGUGCGGGAUGACGGCCUUCGGGUUGUAAACCGCUUUCGCCUGUGACGAAGCGUGAGUGACGGUAAUGGGUAAAGAAGCACCGGCUAACUACGUG
rnacentral:rRNA from 1 species